AGUGAACGCUGGCGGUAGGCCUAACACAUGCAAGUCGAACGGCAGCACAGUAAGAGCUUGCUCUUACGGGUGGCGAGUGGCGGACGGGUGAGGAAUACAUCGGAAUCUACUUUUUCGUGGGGGAUAACGUAGGGAAACUUACGCUAAUACCGCAUACGACCUACGGGUGAAAGCAGGGGAUCUUCGGACCUUUCGCGAUUGAAUGAGCCGAUGUCGGAUUAGCUAGUUGGCGGGGUAAAGGCCCACCAAGGCGACGAUCCGUAGCUGGUCUGAGAGGAUGAUCAGCCACACUGGAACUGAGACACGGUCCAGACUCCUACGGGAGGCAGCAGUGGGGAAUAUUGGACAAUGGGCGCAAGCAUGAUCCAGCCAGACCGCGUGGGUGAAGAAGGACUUCGGGUUGUAAAGCACUUUUGUUGGGAAAGAAAAGCAGCAGGUUAAUACCACGCUGUUCUGACGGUACCCAAAGAAUAAGCACCGGCUAACUUCGUG
rnacentral:rRNA from 1 species